GUGCAAUUGCUGCUGCUGCUGAGGAUCCUGCAUUUGAUGUGGGUUAUUGAAUUGUACCGGCAUCCUGGGUGGAAAACUCCCAGGCUGCUGUGCCCCCAUUGCUGCGGCUUGAGGAUGCUGCAUGUAGUAUGCUCCUUGCUGCGUCGCUGCUGGGUGCAGAGCCAUCUGAAUUGAUAUUAUAAAAACCGAGUGAGGCGUUAAAUGGAAAUGCAAAAUUGCAGAUGAUCAUAUUCUA
rnacentral:lncRNA from 1 species